rnacentral:lncRNA from 12 species
CUUGGAGGAUUGAACCCAGUAAAGGAGUGAUCCCCCCUACGUCUGAGGUGUCUGUGAUUGUCACAGCAAACCUGGAUGAUACUAAGAAAUUCCAGGACAAGCAACCCAGUGCUGUCCUGGCUCUUCAGUCUCUGCAGUGUGGACUGGCAGCCCCUGCCUGCAGAUUCCAAGGUGAGUAUCUGUGGGCUCCCUCAGAGGGUUUUGAAGAGGACAGAUGUGAUGGUGCAUUUCUAUUGGGAGGUCCUUGUGUUGAGAAGUUUAUUCUGUAGAGUCAGCAGUGGAUUGGCCUGAACUGAAUCAGCAGAGCUGCUGAAGGAAUGAAAAUCUCAUAUGAAUGGGGAACAUCCAUCUUGGCUCU